CUUGGUCAUUUAGAGGAAGUAAAAGUCGUAACAAGGUUUCCGUAGGUGAACCUGCGGAAGGAUCAUUAACGAGAUUGAUUAUGUAAUAAUGAUCACCUCCUACCCAUUGUUGAAUGGACAGAGUACUGUUAAACAGAGUAUUCUGUCUUGACCUGUUUAUCUGUCUUUGAUAUCUGUCUUUGAUAAAAAGUAGAUGAAAAGGUCAAUACUUUAUUGCUAUAAUCUUCGGCAAGUUAUUUACAUAGUGUAUAUAGUAUUAUAGUAUCUGCUUGCCGAAGAAGCAAAACACUUUUACUUUUAUGUGUCUGAAUACAAAUAUAAAUAAAUUAAAACUUUCAACAACGGAUCUCUUGGUUCUGGCAUCGAUGAAGAACGCAGCGAAAUGCGAUAAGUAAUGUGAAUUGCAGAAUUCAGCGAAUCAUCGAAUUUUUGAACGCACAUUGCGCCUAAGAGUAUUCUUUUAGGCAUACCUGUUCGAGCGUCGUUUAAUCUAUAAGGCAUUGCCUUUUGUUGAUGGCUUUGUUUGAUUGUUCAAUCAAACCAUCUAAACGUUUUGGCAGUUGAUUAUGGCCGAUUUGCAGCAAAAUGUAUUUUACGGUUUUGAUAAAAGACUAGCCAGUUUUUAAAUAAUAGUUCGACCUCGGAUCAGGUAAGAUUACCCGCUGAACUUAAGCAUAUCAAUAAGCGGAGGAAAAGAAACCAACAGGGAUUGCCUUAGUAACGGCGAGUGAAGCGGCAAGAGCUCAAAUUUGAAAUCUGGCUUCGGCCCGAGUUGUAAUUUGUAGAGGAAUGUUCGGCGAAGUCUAGGUCUGAUUUUUCUGGAAGGAAAAGCCAUUGAGGGUGAGAGCCCCGUACGACUGAUGACUAAACCAUGUGUACAUCCUUCGUAGAGUCGAGUUGUUUGGGAAUGCAGCUCAAAAUGGGUGGUAAAUUCCAUCUAAAGCUAAAUAUAGGCCAGAGACCGAUAGCGCACAAGUAGAGUGAUCGAAAGAUGAAAAGCACUUUGGAAAGAGAGUGAAACAGUACGUGAAAUUGUUGAAAGGGAAGCGCUAGCGACCAGACUUGGAAUAGGCAUUCAGCGAUUCAUUGGAUUGUGUAUUUUGCCUGUUACAGGCCAGCAUCAGUUUUUGCGGUUGGAAAAAAGCAUUGAGAACGUGGCUCCUCGGAGUGUUAUAGCUCCUUGCAGAAUACAGCCAGCGGAGACUGAGGAACGCCUUUUGAAGGAUGCUGGCAUAAUGGUUGUUAGCGGCCCGUCUUGAAACACGGAC
rnacentral:rRNA from 1 species